AUUGAACGCUGGCGGCAGGCCUAACACAUGCAAGUCGAACGGUAACAGGAAACAGCUUGCUGUUUCGCUGACGAGUGGCGGACGGGUGAGUAAUGUCUGGGAAACUGCCUGAUGGAGGGGGAUAACUACUGGAAACGGUAGCUAAUACCGCAUAACGUCGCAAGACCAAAGAGGGGGACCCUCGGGCCUCUUGCCAUCGGAUGUGCCCAGAUGGGAUUAGCUUGUGGUGGGGUAACGGCUCACCAAGGCGACGAUCCCUAGCUGGUCUGAGAGAUGACCAGCCACACUGGAACUGAGACACGGUCCAGACUCCUACGGGAGCAGCAGUGGGGAAUAUUGCACAAUGGGCGCAAGCCUGAUGCAGCCAUGCCGCGUGUAUGAAGAAGGCCUCGGUUGUAAGUACUUACUAGACGGGAGGAAGGAGGUAAAGUUAA
rnacentral:rRNA from 1 species